GUUACUAAGAUGGCGGACGUGAGAUAAGUCGAUAGAGUUGAUUUAGGAUUACCGAAAGCAGGUAACUUAUUCAAGACUGUAAUUCUUCUUUACUUCGUCUUGUGUCUGAAUAUCUACAGGAUUGAUCACUGGGCAUGAACAUCAGRGCAUGUUUUCACAUUUUAGUCAGUCUUCGACAAUUGUCUCCAUGAAAGAUCAACAGUGUAUUCUGCAGUAGUCCAUUUGAUCUUYAUAGAUAAAAAUAUGGUUCUAACUAGUGUAAAAACUUUUCAUGCAAAGGAGGUGCUGUUAGUGUCUGUUAGUGUUAUGUCCUUUUUUAACAAUGAMGUAUAUUUGUAUCCAG